rnacentral:rRNA from 1 species
CUAUCACUCCUACGGGAGGCAGCAGUGGGGAAUAUUGCACAAUGGGCGCAAGCCUGAUGCAGCCAUGCCGCGUGUGUGAAGAAGGCCUUCGGGUUGUAAAGCACUUUCAGUCGUGAGGAAGGUAGUGUAGUUAAUAGCUGUAUUAUUUGACGUUAGCGACAGAAGAAGCACCGGCUAACUCCGUGCCAGCAGCCGCGGUAAUACGGAGGGUCCAAGCGUUAUCCGGAAUCACUGGGUUUAAAGGGGUGCGUAGGCGGAUAACUAAGUCUAAGGUGAAAGUCUGUGGCUUAACUAUAGAAUUGCCUUGGAUACUGGUUAUCUUGAAUUGGGUUGAGGAUGGCGGAAUGUGACAUGUAGCGGUGAAAUGCAUAGAUAUGUCAUAGAACACCGAUUGCGAAGGCAGCCAUCUGGGCCUUGAUUGACGCUGAGGCACGAAAGCGUGGGGAGCGAACAGGAUUAGAUACCCUGGUAG